UUUUGGGCUACCUGCUUUACCAAUUAUAUCUACUGCCUGACCAACCCGGACAGAUACAGGAAGAGUCUGCAAGGAAUUAUAUUAAAUAAUGACUAGAAUAUAAUUGCACGAUUGUGUGACUUUCCCAGUAUCAAAUUUGUCGAAUCAAGACAAGCUACCAUGAUCACUAAUAAUCCUGCGAGAGCCGUUUGAUCCAGAACUUUUGAAGCAUAGUGCAAUGGAGAAAGAGACAGUGUACCCUGGAAAAGUAGUGAAGUAGAGUAAGAUGAAAGAAUUAUUGAAAAUAUUUGUAUACCUUUCCCAGAUGCACCAAGCCCUGUGAAAUCCGCACCAGGAACAGCUCCCACGAGUCCAAGAGCAAAAAUUGCAUUGUAAGCUACCUCAGGAUCGUUGUCAUGACUAUACUUCUUGAGGACAUCAAGCAACGCUGGUUCUGGAUCUGACAAUGAAUUUAAAGCC